rnacentral:rRNA from 1 species
AUGCAAGUCGAACGGAAGUCGUUAUGAUGAUUUCAACACUGACAGAGAACUUGUUCAAAGAAAGUAGAGAUUGACUUAUAACAAUGGCUUUAGUGGCGGACUGGUGAGUAACACGUGAGCAACCUGCCUAUCAGAGGGGAAUAACAGUGAGAAAUCAUUGCUAAUACCGCAUAUGCCAUAAAUAUCACAUGAUAAAAGUGGGAAAGGAGUAAUCCGCUGAUAGAUGGGCUCGCGUCUGAUUAGAUAGUUGGUGGGGUAACGGCCUACCAAGUCGACGAUCAGUAGCCGGACUGAGAGGUUGAACGGCCACAUUGGGACUGAGAUACGGCCCAGACUCCUACGGGAGGCAGCAGUCGGGAAUAUUGCGCAAUGGAGGAAACUCUGACGCAGUGACGCCGCGUAUAGGAAGAAGGUUUUCGGAUUGUAAACUAUUGUCGUUAGGGAAGAUACAAGACAGUACCUAAGGAGGAAGCUCCGGCUAACUACGUGCCAGCAGCCGCGGUAAUACGUAGGGAGCAAGCGUUAUCCGGAUUUAUUGGGUGUAAAGGGUGCGUAGACGGGAAAGCAAGUUAGUUGUGAAAUCCCUCGGCUUAACUGAGGAACUGCAACUAAAACUACUUUUCUUGAGUGUUGGAGAGGAAAGUGGAAUUCCUAGUGUAGCGGUGAAAUGCGUAGAUAUUAGGAGGAACACCGGUGGCGAAGGCGACUUUCUGGACAAUAACUGACGUUGAGGCACGAAAGUGUGGGGAGCAAACAGGAUUAGAUACCCUGGUAGUCCACACCGUAAACGAUGGAUACUAGGUGUAGGGAACAUUAAGUU